rnacentral:rRNA from 1 species
GAUGAACGCUGGCGGCGUGCCUAAUACAUGCAAGUCGAGCGAACGGACGAGAAGCUUGCUUCUCUGAUGUUAGCGGCGGACGGGUGAGUAACACGUGGAUAACCUACCUAUAAGACUGGGAUAACUUCGGGAAACCGGAGCUAAUACCGGAUAAUAUUUUGAACCGCAUGGUUCAAAAGUUAAAGACGGUCUUGCUGUCACUUAUAGAUGGAUCCGCGCUGCAUUAGCUAGUUGGUAAGGUAACGGCUUACCAAGGCAACGAUGCAUAGCCGACCUGAGAGGGUGAUCGGCCACACGGGAACUGAGACACGGUCCAGACUCCUACGGGAGGCAGCAGUAGGGAAUCUUCCGCAAUGGGCGAAAGCCUGACGGAGCAACGCCGCGUGAGUGAUGAAGGUCUUCGGAUCGUAAAACUCUGUUAUUAGGGAAGAACAUAUGUGUAAGUAACUGUGCACAUCUUGACGGUACCUAAUCAGAAAGCCACGGCUAACUACGUG